CAGCCGGAAUUUCGCGUAGCAGUGAAAUGCGUAGAUAUGCGGAGGAACACCGAUGGCGAAGGCAGCUUCCUGGGAUAACACUGACGCUCAUGCACGAAAGCGUGGGGAGCAAACAGGAUUAGAUACCCAGGUAACCACGCCCUAAACGAUGUCAACUAGCUGUUGGGGCCUUCUGGCCUUGGUAUGCAGCUAACGGGGUGCGUGAAGUUGACCGCCUGGGGAGUACGGUCGCAAGAUUAAAACUCAAAGGAAUUGACGGGGACCCCGCACAAGCGGUGGAUGAUGUGGAUUAAUUCGAUGCAACGCGAAAAACCUUACCUACCCUUGACAUGUCUGGAAUCCCGAAGAGAUUUUGGGAGUGCUCGCAAGAGAACCGGAACACAGGUGCUGCAUGGCUGUCGUCAGCUCGUGUCGUGAGAUGUUUGGGUUAAGUCCUAUAACGAGCGCAACCCUUGUCAUUAGUUGCUGAUGAAAGGGCACUCUAAUGAGACUGCCGGUGACAAACCGGAGGAAGGUGGGGAUGACGUCAAGUCCUCAUGGCCCUUAUGGGUAGGGCUUCACGCGUCAUACAAUGGUCGGGACAGAGGGUCGCCAACCCGCGAGGGGGAGCCAAUCCCAGAAACCCGAUCGUAGGUCCGGAUCGCAGUCUGCAACUCGACUGCGUGAAGUCGGAAUCGCUAGUAAUCGCGGAUCAGCAUGUCGCGGUGAAUACGUUCCCGGGUCUUGUACACACCGCCCGUCACACCAUGGGAGUGGGUUUUACCAGAAGUGGUUAGCCUAACCGUAAGGAGGGCGAUUACCACGGUAGGAUUCAUGACUGGGGUGAAGUCGUAACAAGGUAG
rnacentral:misc_RNA from 1 species